GUGCUGAAGACUGUGGGCUGGUGACUUGUACAACUCAUACUUACCUGGCAGGGGAGAUACCAUGAUCAAGAAGGUGGUUCACCCAGGGUGAGGCUCAGCCAUUGCACUCCGGCUGUGCUGACCCCUGCGAAUU